CGUGUGGUGUCUGGCACUGGACCAGAUGGCGACACGGCCCAAUGAGGU
rfam:Gallaecimonas xiamenensis 3-C-1 contig3, whole genome shotgun sequence.